rnacentral:rRNA from 1 species
AUUGAACGCUGGCGGCAUGCUUUACACAUGCAAGUCGAACGGCAGCGCGGGCUUCGGCCUGGCGGCGAGUGGCGACGGGUGAGUAAUGCAUCGGAACGUGCCCAGUAGUGGGGGAUAGCCCGGCGAAAGCCGGAUUAAUUCCGCCUACGACCUGAGGGGUGAAGCGGGGGGCCGAAAGGCCCCGCGCUAUUUGGGCGGGCGAUGUCGGAUUAGCUAGUUGGUGGGGUAAAGGCUUUCCAAGGCGACGAUUCGUAGCUGGUCUGAGAGGACGACCAGCCACACUGGGACUGAGACACGGCCCAGACUCCUACGGGAGGCAGCAGUGGGGAAUUUUGGACAAUGGGGGCAACCCUGAUCCAGCCAUGCCGCGUGCGGGAAGAAGGCCUUCGGGUUGUAAACCGCUUUUGUUCGGGAAGAAAUCCUCUGGGCUAAUACCCCGGGGGGAUGACGGUACCGGAAGAAUAAGCACCGGCUAACUACGUG